rnacentral:siRNA from 1 species
AGGUAGGGAUAUUGCGUGAUUUUG